GCUGACGUGUCCAAGCGCCGUGUGCUGCUGGUGGACCCGAUGCUUGCGACCGGCGGGAGCGCGACCGAGGCGAUCCGCGUCCUCCGCGAGGCCGGCGUCCCCGAGCAGAGCAUAGUUCUCGUUUCAAUUGUGGCGGCGCCGGCGGGGAU
rnacentral:SRP_RNA from 17 species